rnacentral:rRNA from 1 species
CAAGUCGAGCGGACAGAAGGGAGCUUGCUCCCGGAUGUUAGCGGCGGACGGGUGAGUAACACGUGGGUAACCUGCCUGUAAGACUGGGAUAACUCCGGGAAACCGGAGCUAAUACCGGAUAGUUCCUUGAACCGCAUGGUUCAAGGAUGAAAGACGGUUUCGGCUGUCACUUACAGAUGGACCCGCGGCGCAUUAGCUAGUUGGUGAGGUAACGGCUCACCAAGGCGACGAUGCGUAGCCGACCUGAGAGGGUGAUCGGCCACACUGGGACUGAGACACGGCCCAGACUCCUACGGGAGGCAGCAGUAGGGAAUCUUCCGCAAUGGACGAAAGUCUGACGGAGCAACGCCGCGUGAGUGAUGAAGGUUUUCGGAUCGUAAAGCUCUGUUGUUAGGGAAGAACAAGUGCAAGAGUAACUGCUUGCACCUUGACGGUACCUAACCAGAAAGCCACGGCUAACUACGUGCCAGCAGCCGCGGUAAUACGUAGGUGGCAAGCGUUGUCCGGAAUUAUUGGGCGUAAAGGGCUCGCAGGCGGUUUCUUAAGUCUGAUGUGAAAGCCCCCGGCUC